rnacentral:misc_RNA from 1 species
UGGACAUCCUAUAAGCCUAAAAUAAUGUGGAUACUUGGGCACCAAAUUAACCAAAAAAUCAUUAGGGAAACCAAAUUCUCUCUUCACAUGAACCAAUUUAUCCGCACUAAGUACCUUAUCCUUGGCCAUCAUCAGCAAUUUACACAAUUUGGUAACAAUAAACCCCUCAUUUUCCAAUUGAAUCCCCUUCUCUUCUUCAAGAAAAUUCCUUAACCGAUCACUAAC